rnacentral:rRNA from 1 species
UGCAGUCGUGGGGCAGCGCAGUGUAGCAAUACAUGGGCGGCGACCGGCAAACGGGUGCGGAACACGUACACAACCUUCCUACAAGUGGGGAAUAGCCCAGAGAAAUUUGGAUUAAUACCCCGUAACAUAUAAAGAUGGCAUCAUUUUUAUAUUAUAGCUACGGCGCUUGUUGAUGGGUGUGCGGCUGAUUAGGUAGUUGGCGGGGUAAUGGCCCACCAAGCCUGCGAUCAGUAGCUGAUGUGAGAGCAUGAUCAGCCACACGGGCACUGAGACACGGGCCCGACUCCUACGGGAGGCAGCAGUAAGGAAUAUUGGACAAUGGGCGCAAGCCUGAUCCAGCCAUGCCGCGUGAAGGAUUAAGGUCCUCUGGAUUGUAAACUUCUUUUAUAAGGGACGAAAAAAGGGAAUUCUUCCUCACUUGACGGUACCUUAUGAAUAAGCACCGGCUAACUCCGUGCCAGCAGCCGCGGUAAUACGGAGGGUGCAAGCGUUAUCCGGAUUCACUGGGUUUAAAGGGUGCGUAGGCGGGUAUUUAAGUCAGUGGUGAAAUCCUAGAGCUUAACUCUAGAACUGCCAUUGAUACUAUUUAUCUUGAAUAUUGUGGAGGUAAGCGGAAUAUGUCAUGUAGCGGUGAAAUGCUUAGAUAUGACAUAGAACACCUAUUGCGAAGGCAGCUUACUACGCAUAUAUUGACGCUGAGGCACGAAAGCGUGGGGAUCAAACAGGAUUAGAUACCCUGGUAGUCCACGCCCUAAACGAUGGAUACUCGACAUACGCGAUACACUGUGUGUGUCUGAGCGAAAGCAUUAAGUAUCCCACCUGGGAAGUACGACCGCAAGGUUGAAACUCAAAGGAAUUGGCGGGGGUCCGCACAAGCGGUGGAGCAUGUGGUUUUAAUUCGAUGAUACGCGAGGAACCUUACCUGGGCUAGAAUGCAUUUUUGACCGCCAGUGAAAGCUGGUUUUG